ACUGAAGGCAAAGACAAAUGGGAAAACAGUGGUUGAAAUUCUGUUCUGCCUCCAUGGGGCUUCACUAACAUUUCCCACAUCAGUAAAAUGUGAACAAAGCUUAAAGAAAGGGACUUUAGGCAACAUUGUGCUUAGUUCCUGCUUGGUUGCUCAGGAAGAAAAUGGGAUACUGGAUCCUCUCUCCCUUGCCCCUCUUCCCACAACCAUGCAGUGCAGGGGGUGCACCCAAAAUGUCCCUCCCCAGUUGUUCCUCAGCCUCAGGUUGCAAAAACAUAGGACCACAGGAAUUGCCAUGCUGUAUCAGCCUUGAGGUCCAUAUAGUCCAGUAUCCUGUUAUAGACAAUGGCCAGUAUUGGAUGCUUCAGAGGCAGCUGCAAGAAGCCCUACAGUAGACAGAUGUGGGGUAAUCUGUCCCAUUUCCCCUCCCCACAUUCGCCCCUGAAGGUCUGAGCCUUAUUCUUAAUAGUUAAAGAGCUGUUUAAGCCCCAAAACAUGAGGUUUUAUCUCCCUUCCAAUACUCAAUUAUUAUAACUCUGAAUAUUCUUGUGAUCCAUACAACUAUCUAAUCCUGCCCCCCUUUUUUGCAGAUUCAACUACUGGCAUUUUUUUGGUCCAGCAACUGAGAGAGAGGAAGGGAUGAUGCUGUUGAGGCAGUUGACCAGCCUUCCAUACAGAAAAGAGCCUGAUCCUGCAACGUGUACUCAAGCAAGACUCCCAGAUCACAAGAGCUGGCCCUUAGCGAUGACUGGCUUUACAUGCUAUGAUGGCAUUGAUUUUUAAGCAUAGUAAAACAACUGAUGGCACCAUAUGACUCUAUACACCUAGGAGUCUAAACAAUUAUCUACAAUGAGGAGGUAUUACCUGUGUAUGAUGACUUAAAUUUGAUAUAAGUAAACUCAACAUUGUUUUGCCACACAAAUAGAAGGUACCAAAGGAAGAUGAUUUACUACUUUAAGCACCAACUAUGACAUGUCAAAAUUCCCUGAAGCCACAGGUUACCAACAGAAUGACUCAGCCCUUCAUAUGUCUGAGAAGGGGUGAAGAGUCUGCAGAGGAUCCAGCCUAGGAAGGAGUGAAGAGGUGUGGUGGUGCUGAAUCACCCGAGAAGGCUUAAUGAGCUGACUCCAUUGCAGAAGCAAAGCCUUCAGGAAUGCAUUAAUGCUGCUGCUGCUGGAUAAGUAGGGGGUAGAAAAUAAAUAUAUAGGAUUGGAAGCUGCAGGCUGGCAGGACAUAGUUAAAUAGCAGAACAUGUCAUAAAUGACACUUUCAUUUACUAGUUAGUGCAGUACAGAGUAGUAUGUUGAUUCUGAGGAUGAUUUGAAAGUGACAAUAUUACCAAGUCGCUUAUGAGCUUGGCAUCUUUUACUGGAUAUGUGGCAGUAUAUUUUCAAGCAUUCAUGUGGGGAAAAAUAGGCCAGUGACACAAGAGUACUCUGUUUCCAAAGGGAAACUGUGGCCUGCUGUUGCUUGUUACCAAGGUGUUAGCCUCUUUCUGUUUUUUCUUAGCUUAGUAUUGAUGAAAGAUUUCAGCUAUUAGUGCUGUCAGUCGGACGUCUUCUACUGAUUAUAAUAAAUGCUAUGUGGACAACAGCAACACAAACAAAAUAUAAAGGGGACCAAGAUAACAAGAAACAUAGGCAGAAUAAUAAAGUGGAAAGUCCAUGCUAAUCCAUAAAGAGAGAAAAUAACCUGCCAUUUAUCUGAAACCCAGAUAUUCAAAGAGAAGGAGACAGUUGGGCAGCAGUAAUACUGAGAGGUUUGGGGUGAUGGUAGACAGUAGGUGAGAAAUGAAUUUGCCAUGGAAUACAUAUUUACAGGGAUAUUUUCUCUGUUCAGGGUUUUAAAUUGUUCUAUAACAAAGUACAAUUUCACCCUGGACAAUGACUAUGUAAAAACAGGCCUUUCCACUCUGCUAUUCUACUCAAAAUCAACCUGUUGCCUCCUAGACAAGAGCAAGUUUCAGUUAUGCAAGGAUGACAGAAGCAGACACACAGCGUUAGGGAAAGAACUGGAUUCUCUUUUGGCUGAAUCAUUAUCAAGAUUAACUUAAAUCUUGUCUACAUGGGGGAAAUUGACCAGCAUAGCUAUUCCAGAAUAACUAUUCUGAUAUAAUUUAAGUAUACUGGAAAAACUCUCCUGCACGCACACUCUAUUCUGGAAUUAAAAUGAUUUUUUUCUGGAAUAAUUACUCGGCUUCUAAAGUCACUUUUAUUUCAGAGAAGUGUGUCCAUACAGGAGUUAUUCUGCAAUAGCUAUGCUAGUCAAUUUCCCCACAUAAAGAAGAUGUAAGGUCCAAUUGCAAGAUCAUCUUUGCAACCCUAUUGUCUUCAAAUUAUUCCCUCAUUUACACCAGUGUCAUUUCUCUGAGGGCAUAAGGUUGCAUAGACAAUGACCAUGGGUUUAUUGAUAGUAGCACCUAGAUAUUAUAGAGAUGGGCAGCCUAAGACUAUGAGAUUUGGUCUACACACAAUUAUUUUAGUAAUAUAACUGUUGCAGUUAGGGGUGUGAUUUUUUUCCACUGAAAUAGCUAAAUUGGUACAGCCUCUAAGCCAAAUGCAGUUGUACUGGUAUAAAGGUGCCUUCUCAAACAGGAAUAGCUACAUAGGUAAAGACACCUCUUUUUCUAUAUAGUUGUCUACAGUAGUGAGAUUGUACUGCCUAAACUAUACCAGUAUUGUUGGAUCAUAUUAAAGAAGUUCUGUAUUAAAAUCACAAAUGAGUUUGAUUCCCCAUAGUUUAAAUUCAAGGGUAUUACUAAUUAAGAGGUCUCUUGGUUUUUGGUACUGUUUCUCUCCCUCUGUGUGUGAAACUUGCAAGCUGCUAAUUGUGUUAGUACAUUCUAAGACAGAGUCUGUUCUCAAAGCAAUUCUUUGUAAACAACAACUACUCACCACAGAGAGAAACUCAAAGCAAUACUCAAAGCACCCAGAGACUCCCCGCCCUUUUGUUGUAUUCAUCUCGCUUUGUUAACAAUUGUGAUUUAAAAUAGAGAUAGAAGAUGUAUGUGGAUGGAUAUUUGGUGUGGAUAAUAACUGAAUGAUCAGGGAGGUG